UUCUUUUUCGUUUUAUUAAAAAGUAAAAUCUGCCCACUGAUAUAUUAAAGGGCCGCGGUAUUUUGACCGUGCUAAGGUAGCAUAAUCAUUAGUCUCUUAAUUAGGGAAUAGUAUGAAUGGUUAAACCUAGAAAAAUUUUUUUGGUCAGUAUUUUUGAAAUUUAAAUUGAAGUGAAAAUGCUUUAAAUUAGAAAUUAGACGAUAAGACCCUAUAGAGCUUAAUGCUUCUUUUAAACCAUUCUUUGGGGGAAAGAAUGGUUUAAUAGGAAUGUGUUUAGUUGGGGCAAUUUUAGAAUAAUAAAAACUUCUAAUGAUUUUAAUAAAUCUUAAAUUUUAAAAACUAAAAAGUUACCUUAGGGAUAACAGCGUAAUGAUUUUUUAGAGUUCUUAUCGACAAAAUUGUUUGCGACCUCGAUGUUGAAUUAAAAUUUCUUAAAAGAGCAGUAUUUUUAUAAGAAAGUCUGUUCGACUAUUAAAUUUUU
rnacentral:rRNA from 1 species